ACGGGUGAGUAACGCGUGGGAACAUACCUCUUGGUUCGGAACAACACAGGGAAACUUGUGCUAAUACCGGAUAAGCCCUUACGGGGAAAGAUUUAUCGCCGAGAGAUUGGCCCGCGUCUGAUUAGCUAGUUGGUGGGGUAAAGGCCUACCAAGGCGACGAUCAGUAGCUGGUCUGAGAGGAUGAUCAGCCACAUUGGGACUGAGACACGGCCCAAACUCCUACGGGAGGCAGCAGUGGGGAAUAUUGGACAAUGGGCGCAAGCCUGAUCCAGCCAUGCCGCGUGAGUGAUGAAGGCCCUAGGGUUGUAAAGCUCUUUUGUACGGGAAGAUAAUGACGGUACCGUAAGAAUAAGCCCCGGCUAACUUCGUGCCAGCAGCCGCGGUAAUACGAAGGGGGCUAGCGUUGCUCGGAAUCACUGGGCGUAAAGGGUGCGUAGGCGGGUUUUUAAGUCAGAGGUGAAAUCCUGGAGCUCAACUCCAGAACUGCCUUUGAUACUGAAAGUCUUGAGUAUGGGAGAGGUGAGUGGAACUGCGAGU
rnacentral:rRNA from 1 species